CCCUUCCUUGUUCCUUCCCGCCUAUAUACCGCCGUCGCAAGCUUACCCUAUGAAGGUCACACAGUAAGCAGAAUUGGCACAGCCCAGAACGUCAGGUCGACGUGUAGCGUAUGGAAGGGGAAGAAAUGGGCUACAUUCCCUACUACAGUGAAUACGAAAGGUGCACUGAAACGUGCGCCAUGAAGGAGGAUUUAGCAGUAAGCAGGAAAUAGAGUGUCCUGCUGAAACCGGCCCUGAAGCGCGCACACACCGCCCGUCAUUCUCCCCAAGCUUGAAAUAUUACUUUAACUAAAACCACAAGUACUGCUAAGGGGAGGCAAGUCGUAACAUGGUAAGUGUACCGGAAGGUGCACUUGGAACAAAU
rnacentral:rRNA from 1 species